CUUAAAGAUUUUAUUGUUAUAUGAUGGGGAAUGCGUUCCAAUUAGAUAGUUGGUAGGGUAACCGCUUACCAAGUCAGCGAUGGAUAGGGGUUCUGAGAGGAAGACCCCCCCACAUUGGAACUGAGACACGGUCCAAACUCNUACGGGAGGCAGCAGUGAGGAAUCUUGGUCAAUGGGCGCAAUGCCUGAACCAGCCAAGUGGCGUGAAGGAAGACUGCCCUUAGGGUUGUAAACUUCUUUUAUAAGGGAAUAACGAUAGCAACGAGUUGCUAUUUGCAUGUACCUUACGAAUAAGGAUCGGCUAACUCCGUGCCAGCAGCCGCGGUAAUACGGAGGAUCCAAGCGUUAUCCGGAUUUAUUGGGUUUAAAGGGUGCGUAGGCGGGAAAGGAAGUCAGUUGUGAAAUUUUAUGGCUCAACCAUAAACUUGCAGUUGAAACUCUUUUUCUUGAGUACACAUGAGGUGGGCGGAAUUUGUGGUGUAGCGGUGAAAUGCAUAGAUAUCACAAGGAACUCCAAUUGCGAAGGCAGCUCACUGGGGUGUAACUGACGCUAAUGCACGAAGGUGUGGGUAUCAAACAGGAUUAGAUACCCUGGUAGUCCACACAGUAAACUAUGAAUACUCGCUGUUUGCGAUACACAGUAAGCGGCUAAGCGAAAGCA
rnacentral:rRNA from 1 species